UACGGAGGGGGCUAGCGUUGUUCGGAAUUACUGGGCGUAAAGCGCACGUAGGCGGAUAGUUAAGUUAGAGGUGAAAGCCCAGGGCUCAACCCUGGAACUGCCUUUAAUACUGGCUGUCUAGAGAUCGAGAGAGGUGAGUGGAAUUCCGAGUGUAGAGGUGAAAUUCGUAGAUAUUCGGAGGAACACCAGUGGCGAAGGCGGCUCACUGGCUCGAUACUGACGCCGAGGUGCGAAAGCGUGGGGAGCAAACAGG
rnacentral:rRNA from 1 species